rnacentral:rRNA from 1 species
AGAGUUUGAUCCUGGCUCAGGACAAACGCUGGCGGCGUGCCUAACACAUGCAAGUCGAGCGGGGAUACUUGAAGAGCAAUCGGAAGGUAUUCUAGCGGCGGACGGGUGAGUAACGCGUGAGGAACCUGCCCUUCACAGGGGGAUAACGCAGCGAAAGUUGCACUAAUACCGCAUGAGACCACAGUACCGCAUGGUACAGAGGUCAAAGGAGCAAUCCGGUGAAGGAGGGUCUCGCGUCCGAUUAGAUAGUUGGCGGGGUAACGGCCCACCAAGUCGACGAUCGGUAGCCGACCUGAGAGGGUGAUCGGCCACAUUGGAACUGAGAUACGAUCCAAACUCCUACGGGAGGCAGCAGUGGGGAAUAUUGGGCAAUGGGGGAAACCCUGACCCAGCGACGCCGCGUGAGGGAAGAAGGUUUUCGGAUUGUAAACCUCUGUCCUUGGUGAAGAGAAGAAGACGGUAACCAAGGAGGAAGCCCCGGCUAACUACGUGCCAGCAGCCGCGGUAAUACGUAGGGGGCGAGCGUUGUCCGGAAUGAUUGGGCGUAAAGGGCGCGUAGGCGGCCAUGCAAGUCUGGAGUGGAAGUCCACCUUUCAAGGGUGGAAUUGCUUUGGAAACUGCGUGGCUGGAGUGCAGGAGAGGUUAUCGGAAUUCCCGGUGUAGCGGUGAGAUGCGUAGAGAUCGGGAGGAACACCAGUGGCGAAGGCGGGUAACUGGACUGCAACUGACGCUGAGGCGCGAAAGUGUGGGGAGCAAACAGGAUUAGAUACCCUGGUAGUCCACACGGUAAACGAUGAAUGCUAGGUGUAGGUGGUAUCGACCCCAUCUGUGCCGGAGUAAACACAAUAAGCAUUCCGCCUGGGGAGUACGGUCGCAAGAUUAAAACUCAAAGGAAUUGACGG